GCAUGGAUAUCCAUGGAUCUUCAUAGCUAUAUGGAUAAAAUCCAUAUCCAUGUCCAAUGUUAAAUACUGGAUAUGGAUAUGGAUAUAUCCAUUAUGGAUAAUUAUGGAUUUGUGUUUGGAUGGAUAUUAUCCAUCCAUAAUUGGAUAUUUGUCAUCCCUACAUGCUUGACACAUUCUUGUAGAAUUGCAAACUUCAAAGAAGAAAUUCACUCAAUACUACACUCAACACAAUUUCUUUUGUUGCUUAUAAAGAAGCUUGUUCUAGAUACAAUACAAGCUUACAAGGAAAGGUUUAUAUACAUCGCAAAUGCAAUAAUAAUCAUAUAAAGUGCUAAACACACUAAGCACAUUUAUUAAUCACAAAUUUCCUUAUCAUCACACACGUAGCCCAUUUUCUUGCUUAUUACUUACCAACUCCAUUCCAUUAUAAAAUUUUUAAACCAACAAUAGAAAGUUUCAUGGGCUAGAUCUUUUCAAUUGGGUUAGUGUCGUAUACUUCAAACACUCUCCUUCAACACCAGCUUCCAUCCCUUUCGCUAUAUUGAGCUGACGCCAAAAGUUUUCUAACUUUUCAGCAACCAAAUCGUUCGUGAAAAAAUCGCAAGAAUUUAAACAUUUUUUAUUAUUAAAAU
rnacentral:lncRNA from 1 species